CGAAGGGGGCGGGGCAGGCAUGUAGCUAGCCAUUCAUUCAGAUCCUGGUAUUAGGCCAUGGUAUAAAGGUGCCUAGUAGGUCGGACUGUCUUCCUCUCUGUCUCUCGCUCGGUUUGUCCCUGGGUUUCACGCAGGAGCCAAUCGCCAGCUCUGCGUCUCCCUUACUCUGCCGUGGCUGUAUGGAACCUGACCUGUCUAGCAUUAGAUAACUCUCCCCUGCAGCUUAUGACGAUGGCACGGCGUGUGUUUUAAGCGUUCUUUAGGCCUACUGGCUAAACGGUGACUGCAAGUGUUUGGUAUGUAUGAAACCGGAAUGUUGUAGCUUUUGGUGUGGCAUUUGAGACACUGAUACACUCUAAGUGUUGACUAUUUAUGUUACAGGUAGCAUGGCUUCGUCAAGUUUGCUUGUUUAGUGUGGUCACGCUGCUGUCUUGUCCAUAGCAUUAGUUUUCAUUUAUUUUUAUGUUUACGUCAUCACAGCUCCUCCGUGUCGCGGUAGCUGACCUGUUUGUGUUGCU